rnacentral:rRNA from 1 species
AGCGAACGCUAGCGACAGGCUUAACACAUGCAAGUCGAGGGGCAGCGGAGAGACAAGCUUGCUUGUCUCUGCCGGCGACCGGCGCACGGGUGAGUAACACGUAUGCAACCUGCCCCUGUCAGUGGGAUAAGCGGGAGAAAUUCCGUCUAAUACCGCAUAACGAUCUGCGGAGACAUCUCCGCAGGUCCAAAGGAGCGAUCCGGACAGGGAUGGGCAUGCGUCGCAUUAGGCAGUUGGCGGUGUAACGGACCACCAAACCGACGAUGCGUAGGGGUUCUGAGAGGAAGGUCCCCCACACUGGUACUGAGACACGGACCAGACUCCUGCGGGAGGCAGCAGUGAGGAAUAUUGGUCAAUGGGCGGGAGCCUGAGCCAGCCAGGUCGCGUGAGGGAAGACGGCCCUACGGGUUGUAAACCUCUUUUGUCGGGGAGCAAAGAGCGCCACGCGUGGCGAGAUGAGAGUACCCGAAGAAAAAGCAUCGGCUAACUCCGUGCCAGCAGCCGCCGUAAUAC